rnacentral:tRNA from 1 species
GGCAGGUUGCCCGAGUGGCCAAAGGGAACGGUCUGUAAAACCGUCGGCGAAGUCCUACGUUGGUUCAAAUCCAACACCUGCCACCA